GCACAACGCGAAGAACCUUACCUACUCUUGACAUCUACAGAAGACUGCAGAGAUGCGGUUGUGCCUUCGGGAACUGUAAGACAGGUGCUGCAUGGCUGUCGUCAGCUCGUGUUGUGAAAUGUUGGGUUAAGUCCCGCAACGAGCGCAACCCUUAUCCUUAGUUGCCAGCGAUUCGGUCGGGAACUCUAGGGAGACUGCCGGUGAUAAACCGGAGGAAGGUGGGGACGACGUCAAGUCAUCAUGGCCCUUACGAGUAGGGCUACACACGUGCUACAAUGGUAUGUACAGAGGGAGGCGAAGCCGCGAGGCGGAGCGGAUCUCUUAAAGCAUAUCGUAGUCCGGAUCGCAGUCUGCAACUCGACUGCGUGAAGUCGGAAUCGCUAGUAAUCGCAAAUCAGAAUGUUGCGGUGAAUACGUUCCCGGGUCUUGUACACACCG
rnacentral:rRNA from 1 species